rnacentral:rRNA from 1 species
GAUGAACGCUGGCGGCGUGCCUAAUACAUGCAAGUCGAGCGAACGGACGAGAAGCUUGCUUUUCUGAUGUUAGCGGCGGACGGGUGAGUAACACGUGGAUAACCUACCUAUAAGACUGGGAUAACUUCGGGAAACCGGAGCUAAUACCGGAUAAUAUUUUGAACCGCAUGGUUCAAAAGUGAAAGACGGUCUUGCUGUCACUUAUAGAUGGAUCCGCGCUGCAUUAGCUAGUUGGUAAGGUAACGGCUUACCAAGGCAACGAUGCAUAGCCGACCUGAGAGGGUGAUCGGCCACACUGGAACUGAGACACGGUCCAGACUCCUACGGGAGGCAGCAGUAGGGAACCUUCCGCAAUGGGCGAAAGCCUGACGGAGCAACGCCGCGUGAGUGAUGAAGGUCUUCGGAUCGUAAAACUCUGUUAUUAGGGAAGAACAUAUGUGUAAGUAACUGUGCACAUCUUGACGGUACCUAAUCAGAAAGCAACGGCUAACUACGUG